rnacentral:rRNA from 1 species
UAACGUCGAGAAAUCGGCGCUAAUACCUCAUAAGUGCAGCGGAUCCGCAUGGAUAUGUUGUUAAAGGUUUACCGCCUUGGGAUAGGCUUGCGUCUGAUUAGCUAGUUGGUGUGGUAAACGGCACACCCAAGGCUACGAUCAGUAACUGGGUCUGAGAGGAUGAUCAGUCACACUGGAACUGAGACACGGUCCAGACUCCUACGGGAGGCAGCAGUGAGGAAUAUUGGGCAAUGCUCGAAAGAGUGACCCAGCAACGCCGCGUGGAGGAUGAAGGUAUUCUAUAUCGUAAACUUCCUGUGAGAGCAGACGAAAGACAGAUUAUUAAAUCUGGAUGACUGUAUGCUCAGAGGAAGCCCCGGCUAACUACGUGC